CCUACGGGAGGCUGCAGUGGGGAAUAUUGGACAAUGGGCGAAAGCCUGAUCCAGCCAUGCCGCGUGUGUGAAGAAGGCCUUCGGGUUGUAAAGCACUUUCAGUGGGGAAGAAAGCCUUGGGGCUAAUACCCUCGAGGAAGGACAUCACCCACAGAAGAAGCACCGGCUAACUCCGUGCCAGCAGCCGCGGUAAUACGGAGGGUGCGAGCGUUAAUCGGAAUUACUGGGCGUAAAGCGCGCGUAGGCAGUCUGAUAAGCCGGUUGUGAAAGCCCCGGGCUCAACCUGGGAACGGCAUCCGGAACUGUCAGGCUAGAGUGCAGGAGAGGAAGGUAGAAUUCCCGGUGUAGCGGUGACAUGCGUAGAGAUCGGGAGGAAUACCAGUGGCGAAGGCGGCCUUCUGGACUGACACUGACGCUGAGGUGCGAAAGCGUGGGUAGCAAACAGGAUUAGAUACCCCGGUAGUC
rnacentral:rRNA from 1 species